GAUGAACGCUAGCGGCAGGCCUAAUACAUGCAAGUCGAACGAUACCAGAGAGCUUGCUUUCUGGGAAAGUGGCGCACGGGUGCGUAACGCGUAUGCAACCUACCUUAAUCAGGGGGAUAGCCUCCCGAAAGAGAGAUUAACACCGCAUAACAUCAUUUUACGGCAUCGUAGAAUGAUCAAAUAUUUAUAGGAUUAAGAUGGGCAUGCGUGACAUUAGCUAGUUGGUGAGGUAACGGCUCACCAAGGCUACGAUGUCUAGGGGAUCUGAGAGGAUGACCCCCCACACUGGUACUGAGACACGGACCAGACUCCUACGGGAGGCAGCAGUAAGGAAUAUUGGUCAAUGGAGGCAACUCUGAACCAGCCAUGCCGCGUGCAGGAAGACGGCCCUAUGGGUUGUAAACUGCUUUUAUACGGGAAUAAACCUCUCUACGUGUAGGGAGUCGAAUGUACUGUAAGAAUAAGGAUCGGCUAACUCCGUGCCAGCCGCCGCCGUAA
rnacentral:rRNA from 1 species